UACAUAGACCUCAAACGUUAUCCGGAUUUACUGGGCGUAAAGCGUCCGUAGGUGUCUGGCUAAGUCUUCGGUGAAAUCCCCGGGCUCAACUCGGGAACUGUCGAAGAAACUAGCUGGAUUGAGUAUGGCAGAGGCAGACGGAAUUCUAGGUGUAGCGGUAAAAAUGCGUAGAUAUCUAGAAGAACACCGAUGGCGAAGGCAGUCUGCUGGGCC
rnacentral:rRNA from 1 species